rnacentral:lncRNA from 1 species
UUGUUUAUGCACUCAUGCGUAUGAUUGAAUCAUUACAUAAAAUAUCAAAUGCUCCGUGUUAAAGUGGUGUGGUAACCGUAUCAAACAACACACAAAAAUAUUAUGCCAGGGUUCAGAAUGCUUGCGUUCAAGUUGUGGGGAGGCAGGCUGCAUUCCAAAACUUUUGAAAGUUUUCUUCUCUCUCCAAAAAUCCUAUUUAAAAAUUUGAAUUAAUACAUAGUUUCAAAACAGUAAAAAUAUGUUGUCUGAAUUUUUUCAAAUAAAUCUGAAAAUAAACUAGAUAAAAUUUGAGGGAGGUAGGAAAAAGAAUCAACUCAUUUGGAGUUAUAUUUAAAAAGUUAUGGCCAGUCAAAGUUUAGUCAAAUUUCUAUUUUAAAUAAAACAGAAAAAGAAAAAGAAAACAAAAAAACAUUUCAAAUAGGAGAACACGUAGGAGACGUACUCUGGGAUUACGCCUCAACUUAAAACAGCGCGGGCCAGCUCGGGGUCACUGAUAGUGGGUCCAGGGGGCCCACUGGUCAGGUUUGACCAGUCGCCUUUGCCCCCUCCUCCUCUGUCCGAGCAGAGGCGGGGCUCCGGCGAUCAACGCCGGCGAACGGCGGCUCCUCGUGGGAUCCCGAGGGCAGGGAUGGAUCCGCCAAUCUAGGGCGGUCCUCCCGGUGGUUGAGGGGGUGGCGGGGAUGGGGGGAGUCGCCGCUGGCGAGCUUCGCGGCGGACGGUGGCUUCGGGAGAUUUGGGGCUUCGCGCUAUGGUGGCUCCCGAGCGAGUUUGAGAUGUUGGAUGGCUCCGCGAGAUCGAGGUUAGUCGUGUGGUGGUGCUGGAUGGACGGGGGAGGCUCUUGGUGCGACUAGCGGGACCGGAACGUGGCGGCGGCCGGACUGGCCGGAGACGAGGAAGAAGAGCUUCCCUGGUCGAUUGCCGGCUAUGGAGUGCUAGGUGGGGUGGCUUGAGGUCGCCUGAGGGACGGGACGAACUCGGGGCUCCUUAUAUAGGCGUUCGAGGUCGGUUCCGACGGUGGCCAUGGAUAAGAAUGGCGAACCGCCGUUCUGAAGCCAGGGGCACGUGGCGAUGGUUGCCGGGGUAUGGCAGGGUGAGCGGAUGAUCUUGAGCUGCUCCAGGGGCGAGCUGGCGCGCUGGUGUGGCUCGGGCGGUGCCGUCCAUGGCAAGGACUGCUGCGGCCGCCUGCUUGCUGCCAUGGCUGACCUAAGGGCGACACUGUAGGGCGCCAGGGGGGCUUGGAUGGUUCUGGCGAGCGGAUGAGGACGGGCGUGGCUCUACGGGCGAGCAAAGGCCAGGGGCGCGGGGCGAGCGAACGCGGUGGCUCGGUUGCACGCGCGCAUGCAAAACGUGCGCUCUGGGCACGCCCAAAGCACGCACGCCAGGCGUUCGGCAAAAUGCUAGGGCAUGUUAGAGAGCUCGAAUGAUGCUGGUAGUAAACAUGCCUAGGUUAGUGGUAGAUAGGAGUUUAGUGGACAUGGUGGUUAGGCAAAGCAAGCAGGUCCAGUGUGCAAACUAAAAGCUAAGCCAAAUUUGCUCAUGCACACAAGGUGCUUGACAAAAUGCCAAGGGCAUCUAGAGAACUCUUGGGAUGGCCAAAAACUCCAGACUAGUGUCUCUUUAGAUGAAAAAGAGGGCGGCAAGGUUAGUUUGGCAAAAACAGAAACUUCCUAGUGGAAGUUUUUGAGAAAACCAUUUCUGGACAGAAAAUAAAGGCUAUCAUUGCAUGCACCAAAUAUACUGCAAUGGGUCCACUCUCCUGGACUUAAGGGUUUUGCAGGGUGGUUAAUAAGCAGGAGAAAGAUCAUGGGCAUUAGAGCGACAAAAAUUAGAGUUGAUGUAGAAAAAGCCAAUCUGGACCAGAGAGCAAAAGAGUAUGUUUUGCUCAAAAUUUUCAAAUAACACCAGUAGAUUUUUGCAUAAAGUUGAAUAAUAUACUCCUACCAACAUCCCCUAAAUUUGGUGGAAGUUUUAAAGAAAUAUUUAAAUAGGUUGUACUCCAAAAGUACAACUGGACCAGAUUUGAAAACUUGGGGUAAAUCUCAAAAUCUCCAAAUGACUAAAGGAUAUUUUUGCAUAAAAGUGAUUUAGGGACAUCAUAUGUCAUCCCCACAUUUUGGUGGGAUUUUUAAAUGAAUUUAUCAAAGGGUUGUAGUGCAAAUGGGACCCUGAAUCUUAUGAAAAAUCAUUUUUAGAGAAAUAGAGCUCAGGGAAAAUAAUUAUAUAAAUAAUUUCACCGAUAAAAGAAAUGUUCCAAUAGAGGGUACACAAGCCCAAUAAUAUUUUUGGAAAGUUUUCACUUAGGGCAAAAACUCCACAAUACCAAAGAAAAGAAAGGUUCUGAAAUCAAAGGAUAAUUCCAGAAAAUAAAAAUUUAAUUUCCUGGCAAAAUUUUAAUAAACAUAUCAUGGUUAAAAUUUUUGGGGUGUUACAACACUACCCCCCUUAAGAAAAAUCUUGUCCUCGAGAUUUGCUAAGAGUUGUUUUUAAAAAAUAAUAUUAUUCCUAUUAGCUGAAACCAGAAAGUUUACUCAUAGCACAAACUUUGAGUCGUCGGGGUUGGUAGCUACGCCCGGGUUAAAAAUGCAAUCGCACACCAACAUACUUAUGCGUGGCUACUAUUUAAAAUAGGGGUGCACAAGCAAACAACAUUUAAAUAUGGCGAUACAGGAUCACAUAAUUACAGGGCGGACAUACUAAGCCUCGGUACUACCCGAGCGACUCAGUCUACCUCGUUAAUAUCUAAGCGUGCAUGCCUUGUGGACGUCGAGGCUUCUCCACGGGUUUCACCGUCGGGAUUUGCUGGAGGGGGUCGAGGGGCUGCAUGGUCGGGGUAGCGAUGAUGACCAUCCUGGGGAUUGUUGGCCAGAAUCCCGUUGGACCGUGUUCCAAAAAGGCAACAAAGCACUUCUAGGGACACCAACGCAUUUUGGUCGAUGGCUGGGGUUGUCCUCAGGGACUCGAUCGGUUGUCCGAAUAGCACGACUGGGUUGUCGGCGUCGGGCUCAUCUUCUCUUCUUGCCGGGGCUCAGCGAACCAGUUCUCCACGAGCUGCGAUCAGGUCAAGGGUGAUUUGAUCGAACAGUUCCUCUAGUGCACCUACAUAGCGCACCAGAUGCAACAACGCAGGAUCCGUCUCGUGAUCUCCGUUGGCAACCUGGGGUGGCCUACCAUACCCGUCACGGCUGGGGUAGUAGUAGAACGAGCGAUAGUUAACUCUGGGCGACAAGUGCCGAAGUUGAACUAUAGCCUCUCGAGCAGCUAGUUGGAUGGCUUGUGGCUCAAAGGAAGUUGUCCUUCCGGUGAACCUGGAGGGGCGUUCUGGCGAUAGACCCCUACCAUUGAUGUGCACAAUGGCCCAGAAUUGACGGCUCUCACCGCUCAUGGGCCCUUGGUACACAACAUAUUCUCGGGGCUCCUCUAAUGCAAAGACACGACGGGUGAGGUUUGCUAGCAUGGUCACAAAACCUCCAAGGUUGUUUGCCGUGGUUUCAUUGUGCAUGACGGGGCCAGGCAUUGUGGCUCGGUUUGGGGAAGAGGUUGUGUUGUGCUGGGUUGAGGCUAGCCUGCUCUUUUUAUAGAAAAAGGGAACGGAGUCUUCCUUCGCACGCUUGCGAAUUAGACAAUUUAGGUGUCGGCCACUGGCGCGUGAUCGAUAGGCUAGGCUAAUAGGUUGGGCACUGACUGCCAAAAGAUGUCGGGUCACUGUGUGGCUAUCUUAUAUGAGAAGCUUGGACGGGGUUAGGUUAAGGUCUGGUGGGUUGGUUAACCUAUGUUUUUCGACCUGGCUAAGAUAGGAUUAGCCAAUGGUUAACUUGGCUCUGAUACCAAGUUUGUCAGGAACGGAUUUUUGGGACAUCAAUGUCCCAGAAAAUGGCCCUUCUGCUCACCAGCCCCAGGAUUACUGUUAGUUGAUGAGGCACCAACUUGAUACAGAAACUCCAAGCAAAGUACAUAAUGAGUAGUACAAGAACAUUCUGGCCUAUGAGUACAACAAAUGGUUCUAGUGGUUGAUGGCGGAAGCGGUUUGUGGAUCAUCGGCGUCUAUGGGACUCCAUUUCCCACAGGAACAGCUGGCCUGGAUAACUCCUAUCUUCGCGAGGCUGCUAUCAUCAUUGCAUAGGUUUCGGGGGUGUCAUCGCAAUGCUCCUCUCCAAGCAAGAAAUCUGGCCAAGACAAUAGCCAGGGACAAGCCAGUGAGUACUUUGCAUGUACUCGCAAACAUUAUGAACACGGGUAUAAUAUAACAAACGAUAAUCAUGCUCUGAAAUAUUCUAUGAUCACAACGUCAGUCAUAUAAUAAAAUCCAUGAUGCAUGCAAGCAAGUUAUUUAUAUACAACAUGAAUAUGCAAUAACAGAGUAGUAAUAAAAUGCACCGAUCGGGUGUUUGAAGCAACGCCUCGAAAGGAUAGUAAAUAACGAGCAUGCCUCAGACGGGCGUCUGAGCGACACCACAUAAAGGGCUUAUAAAGUAAAUAAAUAACAGCAUGCCACAGUCGGGCGUCUAUGCGACACCACAUAAAGGGCUUAUAAAGUAAAUAAUUAACAAGCAGGACACAGUCGGGCGUCUCAGCGACACCACAUAAAGGGCUUAUAUGAAAAUAAAUAAUAGUGAAUAUCCAGGAGGUAGAACCAUACCAGGGAUACUAAAUAAUUCAAAUAAUAUUAUUUGUUAGUCCAUAAUAAUAAUAACCAUAAUCAUCACGAGUCGCAAGCCAUUAUCCAUGUUCAGUUUUUAGCAGUUUUUCCUCCGAAGACCGACACUAAGACCGACACUUGACCCAUCCUAGACUGUAGUCCUUAACCAUGGACACGGCUAUUCGAAUAGAUAUAAUCUCUGUAGAGGGUGUACUCUUUACCCACGAGUAACAGAUUCCUUUAGUCCAUCGGGACUAAUUCCGUCUAUGGUGUUUUAAUUGAAAACACACCUGACUCGCACACACCAGCUUAACUUACCGGUGUUUGGAAUCACCCACGACACCUGUCAAGCAAAACUCUAAGUGUGGAGGCUACAACCUCGAUUAGCAUGGGAUCAAAUUUAUACCGCUCGCUAAUAAGGGGUGCCCCCCUCUCGGUCCCAACCGAAAACACCCAUGCCCCCGGACCAGGUGGCAUGCCUACCGGCUGCAGUCGGUAUCUUCCACCAUGGCCUCUCUGUACGGUGUGUGCUAGAAAGGGGUUGACAACUUACUAAACCGUACCCUACCUGCUGCAGGGACAAGUGGUAGUACGAAACAAGUAUGGGGGUUACUGGAACAAGACUCGAUCUAUGGUCGACUCGGGAGGUUUAAGUAUUCCCUGCAUGAUUAGCAUAACAGAUAUAUUUCAUCCAACAGACAGAAUCACCACUCAUCAUACCCCAUAAUGCCAUACCGGACACACUCGUCUCCACGAGGAACUAGGGGCAUUCUCAGGUCUACCCAAGACAGAGACUUUCCCGGCUUUCUUCCAGUAGGCACAAAAGGCAUACGAGGAUGAUCACUAUCACAAGCCUGUCCAAUUUUCAGCAGCAAAGACUCUUCUUUAUGCACUCAUGCGUAUAAUUGAAUCAUUACAUAAAAUAUCGAAUGCUCCGUGUUAAAGUGGUGUGGUAACCGUAUCAAACAACACAUGAAAAUAUUAUGCCAGGGUUCAGAAUGCUUGCCUUCAAGUUGUGGGGAGGCAGGGUGCAUUCCAAAACUUUUGAAAGUUUUCUUCUCUCUCCAAAAAUCCUAUUUAAAAAUUUGAAUUAAUACAUAUAGUUUCAAAAUAGUAAAAAAAGUUGUCUGGAUUUUUUUCAAAUAAAUCUGAAAAUAAACUAGACAAAAUUUGAGAGAGGUAGGAAAAAGAAUCAACUCAUUUGGAGUUAUAUUUAAAAA